UACGUAGGGUGCGAGCGUUAAUCGGAAUUACUGGGCGUAAAGCGUGCGCAGGCGGUAAUGCAAGACAGAUGUGAAAUCCCCGGGCUUAACCUGGGAACUGCAUUUGUGACUGCAUUGCUGGAGUGCGGCAGAGGGGGAUGGAAUUCUGCGUGUAGCAGUGAAAUGCGUAGAUAUGCGGAGGAACACCGAUGGCGAAGGCAAUCCCCUGGACCUGUACUGACGCUCAUGCACGAAAGCGUGGGGAGCAAACAGG
rnacentral:rRNA from 1 species